UCAGAGGACAGGAACCGGUCAGGUAUUUGUGUGCACACGCACGUGAGGGCCUGGCGCGUGCUCACAGAUAGCACACCCCUGGCACUAGGAUGCCGCGUGCACUGCUGUGUCCUCUGUGAUGUCACAUUCAGGGCACAGUUAGUGCCUGGUGAAUGUCAUGGCCGUGGCACACUGGGCAGCGCCUGCCUGUGUCCCCACCGGUGCUGGUCACCACGCUUGGAGCCCCGCCACAGUGCUGUCCCGCAAGUGACCCACGCAGCCCUCGAGGGUGACGUGCACCUAAACACAGGCGGAGAGGAAAAAACAGAGGGCAGAGGAGCCAGGAAGAGCCAGAGAGAACGCUCCCCCGCAGGCCAGCAGGGGCAGAAGGAACAGCCACAGGGGCCAACAGCUUCCUGGGGGACAGGUCCCCCCCAAUCUCCGGGCAGUGGAGACAGCCUGCGACGGUAAUCUCACUCUUGCUCACUGCAGAGUUGGAAUCGGUCCAGAAAGGAAAGUCUGUGGUCCUACUUCUGCUUCCUUUAGUAUCACUUCGUUUCUUUCACAGGGUGGGGGACACCUCUUAGCGAUAGUGUCACAGCUCCGUGACCACAGGAGAAUGAGUUAUCCUUUAGAAAAAAGAGGAAUUGCAGACCCC
rnacentral:lncRNA from 1 species